GACGAACGCUGGCGGCGUGCUUAACACAUGCAAGUCGAACGGAAAGGCCCCUUUGGGGGUACUCGCGUGGCGAACGGGUGAGUAACACGUGAGUAACCUGCCCUUGACUUCGGGAUAACUUCAUGAAACUGGGGCUAAUACCGGAUAGGAAUCCUUGCUGCAUGGUGGGGGUUGGAAAGCUUCGGGGGUUUUGGAUGGACUCGCGGCUUAUCAGCUUGUUGGUGGGGUAGUGGGUUACCAAGGCGUUGACGGGUAGCCGGCCUGGGAGGGCGACCGGCCACAUUGGGGCUGGGAGACGGCCCAGACUCCUACGGGAGGCAGCAGUGGGGAAUAUUGCACAAUGGGCGGGAGCCUGAUGCAGCAACGCCGCGUGCGGGAUGACGGCCUUCGGGUUGUAAACCGCGUUCAGCAGGGGCGAAGCUUGUGGUGACGGUACCCGCAGAAGAAGCACCGGCUAACUACGUG
rnacentral:rRNA from 1 species